AAAGCCAGUUUUAGAAACAUUGCCCGAAUAUAGAAGAUCUAAGUGUAUUUUGCGCUAUUAGGCUGUAUUUGCUGUGCUCUGUGGCAUUAGUUACCAAAAUAGUACCUUAGUGGUGAAAGGCCUUCAAUUCUAUAGAUAACUGGAUAAAUGUUAAAUAAAUUAAGUUUAAGGCGUACUUACAAAGUGAUAAGAUUUUGUAGGGUAUAAAUUUUUGUAUUCAAGUUAAUGUCACUAAUUAAUAACUACGGACAUAACUUUGGUAAUUUAAUAAUACUACAAUGGAACAAUUAUACAACAACAUUUCAUCUUACCCACUCAUGUUAGUAGGUGGAUAAUGUACAAAUAAGUAUAUAAUAUGAAUUUUAAUUAAGGAACUCGGCAACUAAAGAAUACGACUGUUUACCAAAAACAUAGCCGGUAGCCAUUAAAUUAUCGGUGAUGCCUGCCCAGUGAAUUUUUAACGGCCGCAGUACUAUGACUGUGCAAAGGUAGCAUAAUCAUUUGGCUUUUAAUUGAAGUCUAGUAUGAAAGGAUAAACGUAUUCAAGCUGUCUCAACUGUAAAAUUUGUUAAAAUUAUUUAUAGGGUGAAAAUACCCUAGUUAUGAAAAAAAGACGAGAAGACCCUUAGAAUUUUAAGAAUAUCCAAAGCUAUAGUUGGUGUGAUUUUUGUUGGGGCAACAUUUUUUCAGGAAAAACAAUGAAUUAAUAAUAGAUUAUAUAACGAAUAAAUUUAAUAAAAUAAAAAUUACCUAAGGGAUAACAGCAUAAUUUUAAGUAAAGAUUGUGACCUCGAUGUUGGACUAGGGACUACUAAGGCUAGUCGUUUUAGUAUAAUAGGUUCUGUUCGAACUUUAUUCCCUA
rnacentral:rRNA from 1 species